rnacentral:rRNA from 1 species
AACGCGAAGAACCUUACCUAGACCUGACAUCUCCUGCAUUACCCUUAAUCGGGGAAGUUCCUUCGGGAACAGGAAGACAGGUGGUGCAUGGUUGUCGUCAGCUCGUGUCGUGAGAUGUUGGGUUAAGUCCCGCAACGAGCGCAACCCUUAUUGUUAGUUGCUACCAUUUAGUUGAGCACUCUAGCGAGACUGCCCGGGUUAACCGGGAGGAAGGUGGGGAUGACGUCAAAUCAUCAUGCCCCUUAUGUCUAGGGCUACACACGUGCUACAAUGGCAAGUACAGAAAGAUGCGAACUCGUGAGGGUGAGCUAAACUCAAAAACUUGUCUCAGUUCGGAUUGUAGGCUGAAACUCGCCUACAUGAAGCUGGAGUUACUAGUAAUCGCGAAUCAGAAUGUCGCGGUGAAUACGUUCCCGGGCCUUGUACACACCG